rnacentral:piRNA from 1 species
UGUGCAAGUAUGAUCCUGAACUGGAUGCC